rnacentral:lncRNA from 1 species
CUGUGAAAAUGCUUGAACCAAAAUAGAGAGCAUCGAUGGCUUUCUUUGGAGGUGGGUGUUUGAGCUGAGAUGAUGAGAAGAAGCUGUCUCUUACUUGAACUCAUUGCACACAUUUAUAUAUGAAUCUAUCUUUGUUAAUAAUUUUAGUUACAUGGGGUUUUUGGAUUUAAUUUUAGUCAUGAUAUUAGGCUUUUGUGUAUCAGGCCAACUCUAAUGAGACACUAAAACACCAAAUUUGGUAUAAUUUCAUUUCCAAUAAAACACUAAAAACUACAUCGUUCCAUCAAAUUUGGUAUAGAGUAAAUAGUGUUACACUA